rnacentral:rRNA from 1 species
GGCUGGAACCUCUCGGGGUUACAGCCUUGCUGAAUUAUUCACCCUUGUCUUUUGCGUACUUCUUGUUUCCUUGGUGGGUUCGCCCACCACUAGGACAAACAUAAACCUUUUGUAAUUGCAAUCAGCGUCAGUAACAAAUUAAUAAUUACAACUUUCAACAACGGAUCUCUUGGUUCUGGCAUCGAUGAAGAACGCAGCGAAAUGCGAUAAGUAGUGUGAAUUGCAGAAUUCAGUGAAUCAUCGAAUCUUUGAACGCACAUUGCGCCCUUUGGUAUUCCAAAGGGCAUGCCUGUUCGAGCGUCAUUUGUACCCUCAAGCUUUGCUUGGUGUUGGGCGUCUUGUCUCUAGCUUUGCUGGAGACUCGCCUUAAAGUAAUUGGCAGCCGGCCUACUGGUUUCGGAGCGCAGCACAAGUCGCACUCUCUAUCAGCAAAGGUCUAGCAUCCAUUAAGCCUUUUUUUCAACUUUUGACCUCGGAUCAGGUAGGGAUACCCGCUGAACUUAAGCAUAUCAAUAAGGCCGGGAGGAAGA